GCCAGCUUAAAACUCAAAAGACUUGACAGUAUUUCAUAUCAACCUAGAGGAGCCUGUCCUACAAUCGAUAACCCACGCUCAACCUCACCCGCCUUUGCAACAACAGUCUAUAUACCUCCGUCGCCAGCCCGCCUGAAAACAGAAAAAUAGCGUGUGCAAUAGACCCCCACUAAUACGACAGGUCAAGGUGUAACUUAUAGGCCGGGCAGCGAUGGGCUACAUUUCUUAACAUAAGAAACACCGACUCCGCCAUGAAAUCUGCGACAAAAGGUGGAUUUAGCAGUAA
rnacentral:rRNA from 1 species